UGAGAGACGAGGAGACUUUUUCCAUCCUCCAUCGACAGAUUGCACAUGGUGCAACCUCAGAUUUUUUUCACUUGCACCAUUAUGAAAUUAGGGUGCCUGGGCACCCAAAUUGGGUGCGUUAUAGAGCCCUAUUUAGACUCCGGUUACCUACAACCCUAAUGAAGACAAGCUGUAUUUUUUUUUUUUUUAAUGGAUGAAUACAGGGACUUACUCUGCCUCAAAUUGAGCCCGGAUAUUUGAGCUAUAGAGGCCCUCGUGUCGGCCCGGGACCGACAGUCGAAAAUUUGGUUUUCCUUCUGUCUCGUCAUUUUUUGUGGUAUCAACUAAAGAGCGUCUCACAAUGUUGUUGACCAUCAAGGCACUUAUUAAAUUUGGUAUAAUCAUGGUACAGUACCAUUGCAGUGCUACGGAAUCAAAAUGAGACCUAGCUUAAAAUUAAAAGUAUUGCAGCCUGUAACACGCAUGUCUGACGCUGACUUUUUGACAAACUUCUGCCCUGAUCAAAUAACAUCCAUCGACAUGAGGGACAGAAUUUUUUUUUUUGUGCCCAACCAACCAUGUUUUGAACCCCAAUCCCCCAUCCCCGUUUGAAUGAAUUAUACAAUAACUGAUUUUUUUUUUAUACAUCAAACAACAUGUGAAGUUAUGGAAGGACUUUGCCUUUGUGAUGUCAUGGCAUGCUCAUGCCCUAGGACAGGGGUGUCCAAACUUUUUGCCAAGGGGGCCAGAUUUUAUGUGGUAAAAUGUCGGGGGGGGGCGACCUUGGCUGACAUUCUUUACAUUGAACAACAAUAUUGUUCAACAAAUUUUAGUAAGCCAGUCCGUUUCACAUUUCCAUUUUUAUUUUAAUUUCAACAAUCUUAAGAAUUUCUUUUGGAUCAUUUGAAAUAUGACAUAUCAGUCAAUAUAAACACGGAGUGAUGUCUUGUUAACUCGUGAGUGAUGCCCCCUAGUGUCUAAAUGCUAUUACUCAUUUAGUGAAUGCUAUUACUCAUUUAGCCACUAGAGGGAAGCAGUACUCUAUGAAACAUCACUCACCAGUCUACGAGACCUCAGUCAAUGCAACACGUGUUCCAUUGCGCCCAACCUGCGGGCCAGACGGCACUGAUUUUAUGACAGGGGCCGAGGGCCGGAUGAAAUUCGACCGCGGGCCGGACUUUGGACAUACCUGCCCUAGGAUGUCACUAUUUACUUACCGUACAUACCAAGUAUGCUAGUGCCGGUAGAAUUAGAUGAGGUGGACGUGCAGACAACAUACUGUGGUGUGCUCGAGAAGCUGUUGUCAUGUGCCCUCAAACAAAGGGGCUAAUUUGAAUAUGAUGCAUGCUGGUUGAUAUUUAUAGGCUUGACGUGUAUCCGCUGAGAAUUAGUGCUCUAUUUACGCAGAUGUCUUCAUGCCUCCCUGUGAGUCGGGAGCGCCGCAAAGUCUCCUCCUUGCGUGAUGGGCUGAUGUUGACAAUCGCAAUCUCUGCAGAUGUCAACCACUGUGCUAUUUUUUUUAUUGAUUAUAUAUAUUUUUUUAACAUGACUGCAAUCAUGUUGGAUAGAAGACAAUUGUGUUUUCGCCAUCUGCCACCAUCUCCCCAUUUGUCACUACCCUUCUCCAACAUGAAAUCAGGCGCUUACUUCUUGUCUCAAAUUGUCCAGUAAUGAAAAACAACCGCACGGGGACAGUUUGUUUCAAUUCCCAGCAACCUCACCUCAGCGGCUCCGCGUGCGGUGCAGCAACCUACAAUGCUUUAAUUAAGCAUUGUGGUUUACCCAUGAGACUGAUAUAUGGCACGGUCUGCUUUAAUGAGACGGGGUGCUGAUGAAAGACGUGUAAUUAUUAAAGGACAAGCACUCGUGUGAAUUUAUAAUGAUAGGAAAAGAAUUGGGAUGCUCUGCUUCACUCACAUCUUUACCAGACACCUGCAUCGCAUGUGCUGUACUUUGGGAGGAAAGAAAAGGAAGAAAGCUAUUCCGGGGUGGCGUAAACGACACCACGCCACUCGGGGAGAGUCUCAAAGAUAUUUGAGGUGCAGAGAACAACAUAUUUUACUUUUGCUUUGCGUCCUUUUUGAAGUACGUGCAAAAUAGGAUUUCAGUGGUCAUAGAAAGAAGUUAGUCUUCUCCUUUGGGUGAAGCAGAACACAAAAGGGAAGAAGAUGCCUCUUUCACUUCCUCACAGUGUAAAAGUUUUGCUGCUAACGUUUAUAGCUCUCCCGGUGGAGUUGGGUCGUUGAAAUGCCAAUUGUAUUUUUGGUAGAGCAUUUUUUUGGGUGGAAUUGGAUCAUUUUUAAGGGUUCAUAAAAACCCUCAAAGGAAAGUGUUGAAAAAGAAAGACCCAUUUAUUAAGUCAUAUGCAGAUUAGUAACAUUUGAUUGACUACCUUUUUUCUCAUUCAGUGGCAACAACCAUGUAAGAGAGGGUGAAUGCUAUAUUUUGAACCCUUUCAGGGACAGCGGUUACGACAGUGGACAGCUGAUCAUGUUAUCAGGAUGCAGGGUGCAUGAAGGGUUAAACCUACAUUUUGAUCAAUCUGUCAAAUGCUUGAAAAAAAAGAAGAUACUCCGCACAAUAAAAUGGGAGGAUCUUUUUUUUUUUAAUAUGUUGAGAUCACUUUGGAAAAGAGGUUUAAUUUGUUUUCCUCUGUGUUGGAUGUAUGAUGUUCAGUAACGCGUCGCUAUUUCGCGGUUCUUUUAUCGCGGCUUGGGUGCAUCGCAAAUUUUUUCAAACAUGUUCAUAA